rfam:Camelus ferus unplaced genomic scaffold scaffold1108, whole genome shotgun sequence.
GAUGGUAUAGCUUACUGGUAAAGUGCUUGCCUGUCAUGCAGGAGGUCCUGGGUUCAAUUCCCAGUACCGCCA